UAAUCGGCUAUGCUAGUAAAAUUUAAACUUUAUUUUUGUUAGGGCAUGAAAUUUUAUUUUUGAUUUUGUAAAUUUUAGGUAAAAUUAAAAUUUAUGUUUGGAAAUUUUUGUGUCAUUAAGACUUUGAAAGCGAAUUAGAUUAGUACCUAAUUAGUAAAAAAUUAAAUAUUCAGGAGUAAAGUGGUAUUUAAACUGAAAGAAUAUUGGCAGAUUUUCUAAAUUAUCUUUGGAGGUUGAGUGAUAAUUGAGAACCCUCAUUAACUACUUAAUUUUUUGGCUUAUGUAUGAUCGUUUAUUUUAAGCUUAAGGUUUAGGAUUAUAGGUUUAUUAUUGACUGUAAAAAUAGAUAUAUAUUUGGUUGAUAAUUAAGUUAAUUUGACCUACAAUAUUUUGAAUUAUGGAUUAUUAGUUAGUAAUAAUAUGAAAUUGUAAAAGACAGUAAGAAAGUUUUUAUGUCUUUCUGAAGAGUAUUUAGAGAUGGCACAAA
rnacentral:rRNA from 1 species